GAGUUGUAAUUCGCAGAGGACGUUUCGGGAGCGGCGCCGGUCUAAGUCCCUUGGAACAGGGCGUCAUAGAGGGUGAGAAUCCCGUAUGUGACCGGSGACCAACCCCAUGUGAAACCCCUUCGACGAGUCGAGUUGUUUGGGAAUGCAGCUCAAAAUGGGUGGUAUAUUUCAUCUAAAGCUAAAUACCGGCCAGAGACCGAUAGCGCACAAGUAGAGUGAUCGAAAGAUGAAAAGCACUUUGGAAAGAGAGUCAAACAGUACGUGAAAUUGUUGAAAGGGAAGCGCUGGCAACCAGACCUGUCCGCGGGCUUCAGCCCCCGUUCUCGGGGGUGUACUUGUCCGCGAUCAGGCCAGCAUCGGUUCGGGCGGUUGGAUAAAGGCCUUGGGAAUGUAGCUUCCCCCGGGAAGUCUUAUAGCCCUUGGUGCAAUGCGGCCAGCCCGGACCGAGGACCGCGCUCGGCU
rnacentral:rRNA from 1 species